rnacentral:tRNA from 2 species
GCCCGAGUAGCUCAAUCGGUAGAGCGUGUGGCUCUUAGUACGUUGUAGUGCUCAUGAUGACCUUAAGGUCGCGGGUUCGAGCCCCGCCUUGGGCU